CAGUGGAGGACUCGGGAGUGCACGCGCUGGCACCGGUGUAAGGGGUCCAAGGUGGAGAAGCGGCAGUGUUCCGGGCCACCCUGUGAAGGUUUUGUGUGGACAGAUUGGAUCAACAGCGACUCGCCAUCCACUGGGGAAGGGGACUGGGAGGUAGAUAUAUCACCGCCUCCCUGUGGUGAGAAUCUGGUCCCAGUGAAAAUCGAGUGCCGGUUUGCGCAUCCCCUUUCCGGUGACGCAAUGCCAUGGACCGAGGGUAAACAAAAUCUAACUAUCCCCUGUGUUAACCCACGCGGGAUAGGCUGUUUACACAAAGACCAAGUGUUGCCACCCUUGCCGUCUUCUCCCAGAACAGAACCGACAACGCCGCCUACCGCCCCUCGUGCUGUCGAUACGGUUCGUCCUACGAAAACAUCAAAAAUCAUUCCAGAAGGGAACAGGACCAUCUUUGCUGCAGCGCCGCCUGGUGUGUUGCAGGCGCCA